rnacentral:rRNA from 1 species
UACAGGGGGUGCAAACGUUGCUCGGAAUCAUUGGGCGUAAAGCGCACGUAGGCGGUCUGUUAUGUCGGAUGUGAAAGCCCUUGGCUUAACUGAGGAAGUGCAUCCGAAACUGGCAGGCUAGAGUACUAAAGAGGGUCGCGGAAUUCCCGGUGUAGAGGUGAAAUUCGUAGAUAUCGGGAGGAACACCGGUGGCGAAGGCGGCGACCUGGGUAGAUACUGACGCUGAGGUGCGAAAGCGUGGGGUGCAAACAGG